rnacentral:lncRNA from 1 species
UGUGAGGGAGGCCUGCCUGAGGAGCAAGGGCCCUGACGGGCCUCUCUGUUGGACCUUUCUCCCAGAGGGACGAGCGAGCCGCCCCCGCCGAGGAGCUGCCCCGACGGCCCUGCUGAAGAAUGAAUGGUGCCCCUCAGCCCGGCCUUCCCCAGAGAGGACCUGCCUGCCUGCCUGCCGGCGGCCCACGCUGAGCUUUCUCAAAGGCGAAACCAAUCCAGUGACAAUCUAUCACUUGACUGGUAAUAGAGUCUGCUGGAGAGCAGGUAGAAGCCAGAGGGACUGUCACCACCAUCGCCAAGCUCUAUCUCACCUAUCUAUCUCACCUGGAGAGUUAAUCGCCUCUUGGAAUCUCAGCUGACCAGUGACAGUGCCUCUCAAGACAAGGCAUACAUGGGCCCCUGAUGCCCUGAGCUGUGGACUUAAAUGACUGCAAAGGUCAAAUCUCAGCCCAGUUGCUUAGUGUGUGUGUGUGUAUACAUGUGGCCAGAGGUCAACAUCCAGUGUCUUCUUAUUAACCUUAUUUUAUAUUUUAUUUACCUCUUUUGUUUUUCAAGACAGGGUUUCUCUGUGUAGCCCUGGCUGUCCUGGAACUCUCUCUAUAGACCAGGCUGGCCUCAAACUCACAGAGAUCCGCCUGCCUCUGCAAUGCUGCUUCCCAAGGCGUGCGCCACCACCGCCACCAGGCUCCACCUUAUUUUUUGAGCCAGAGUCUCACUGAAUCUGGAGCUCACCUACUACCAGCGGGUCUCAGGGACCCUCCUGCCUCUGCAGAGCCGGGCUGUGGGUGUGGGCUGCAGCACCUGGCCCCUCACAUGGUUACUGUAGAAGACCCAGGUCCUCAGUUGACGAAGCAAGCCUAGACCAUCUGAGCUGUCCCCUCAGCUCUCAACCCUGGCAUCUGCGUCUUAGCUACCUGUAUGACUUCC